AACGAACGCUGGCGGCGUGCCUAACACAUGCAAGUCGUGCGAGAAAGUUCCUUCGGGAGCGAGUAAAGCGGCGCACGGGUGAGUAACACGUAGGUAACCUGCCCCCCAGUCUGGAACAACUAGAGGAAACUCUAGCUAAUGCCGGAUGAGACCACGAUCCCUUCGGGGGUUGCGGCCAAAAGAUGGCCUCUACUUGUAAGCUAUCGCUGAGGGAUGGGCCUGCGGGCCAUUAGCUUGUUGGUGAGGUAACGGCUCACCAAAGGCUGUGAUGGCUAGCUGGUCUGAGAGGAUGACCAGCCACACUGGGACUGAGACACGGCCCAGACUCCUACGGGAGGCAGCAGUGGGGAAUAUUGCGCAAUGGGCGAAAGCCUGACGCAGCGACGCCGCGUGGGUGAU
rnacentral:rRNA from 1 species